rnacentral:misc_RNA from 1 species
GAAAUGCGAUAAGUAAUGUGAAUUGCAGAAUUCAGUGAAUCAUCGAAUCUUUGAACGCACCUUGCGCUCCUUGGUAUUCCUUGGAGCAUGCCUGUUUGAGUAUCAUGAAAUCUUCAAAGUAAAUCUUUUGUUAACUCAAUUGGUUUCUACUUUGGUAUUGGAGGUCUUUGCAGCUUCACACCUGCUCCUCUUUGUUCAUUAGCUGGAUCUCAGUGUUAUGCUUGGUUCCACUCGGCGUGAUAAGUUAUCUAUCGCUGAGGACACUGUAAAAGGUGGCCAAGGUAAAUGCAGAUGAACCGCUUCUAAUAGUACAGUGACUUGGACAAUACUUUUAUGAUCUGAUCUCAAAUCAGGUAGGACUACCCGCUGAACUUAAGC